GUGUCAGCCGCCGCGGUAAUACGAAGGGGGCUAGCGUUGCUCGGAAUGACUGGGCGUAAAGGGCGCGUAGGCGGUUUGGUUCGUUAGGCGUGAAAUUCCUGGGCUCAACCUAGGGACUGCGCUUAAUACAGCCAGGCUUGAGUUCGGAAGAGGGUAGUGGAAUUCCCAGUGUAGAGGUGAAAUUCGUAGAUAUUGGGAAGAACACCGGUGGCGAAGGCGGCUACCUGGUCCGAUACUGACGCUGAGGCGCGAAAGCGUGGGGAGCAAACAGGAUUAGAUACCCUGGUAGUCCACGCUGUAAACGAUGUGUGCUGGAUGUUGGGUAACUUAGUUACUCAGUGUCGUAGCUAACGCGAUAAGCACACCGCCUGGGGAGUACGGCCGCAAGGUUGAAACUUAAAUGAAUUGACGGGG
rnacentral:rRNA from 1 species